UACGUAUGGUGCAAGCGUUAUCUGGAUUUACUGGGUGUAAAGGGAGCGUAGACGGCGAUGCAAGCCAGAUGUGAAAGCCCGGGGCUCAACCCCGGGACUGCAUUUGGAACUGUAUAGCUAGAGUGUCGGAGAGGCAGGCGGAAUUCCUAGUGUAGCGGUGAAAUGCGUAGAUAUUAGGAGGAACACCAGUGGCGAAGGCGGCCUGCUGGACGAUGACUGACGUUGAGGCUCGAAAGCGUGGGGAGCAAACAGG
rnacentral:rRNA from 1 species